rnacentral:rRNA from 1 species
UACGGGGGGGGGCAAGCGUUGUUCGGAAUUAUUGGGCGUAAAGGGCGCGUAGGCGGCCUGGCAAGUGGAAGGUGAAAUCCCUCGGCUUAACCGAGGAACUGCCCUCCAAACUGCUUGGCUUGAGACCGGGAGAGGUGAGUGGAAUUCCCAGUGUAGCGGUGAAAUGCGUAGAUAUUGGGAGGAACACCAGUGGCGAAGGCGGCUCACUGGACCGGUACUGACGCUGAGGCGCGAAAGCGUGGGGAGCAAACGGG